rnacentral:rRNA from 1 species
AGAGUGAACGCUGGCGGCAGGCCUAAUACAUGCAAGUCGAACGGCAGCACGGCAGAGCUUGCUCUGUGGGUGGCGAGUGGCGGACGGGUGAGGAAUACAUGGGAAUCUGCCCAGUCGUGGGGGAUAACGUAGGGAAACUUACGCUAAUACCGCAUGCGCCGUCGGGGAAAGCCGGGACGUCGGCCGUGGCGCGAUUGGAUGAGCCCAUGUCGGAGUUAGCGUAGUUGGUCGGGGUAACGGCCGUACCGAAGGCGACGAUCCGGUAGCGUGGUCU